rnacentral:rRNA from 1 species
GACGAACGCUGGCGGCGUGCCUAAUACAUGCAAGUUGAGCGCUGAAGGUUGGUACUUGUACCAACUGGAUGAGCAGCGAACGGGUGAGUAACGCGUGGGGAAUCUGCCUUUGAGCGGGGGACAACAUUUGGAAACGAAUGCUAAUACCGCAUAAAAACUUUAAACACAAGUUUUAAGUUUGAAAGAUGCAAUUGCAUCACUCAAAGAUGAUCCCGCGUUGUAUUAGCUAGUUGGUGAGGUAAAGGCUCACCAAGGCGAUGAUACAUAGCCGACCUGAGAGGGUGAUCGGCCACAUUGGGACUGAGACACGGCCCAAACUCCUACGGGAGGCAGCAGUAGGGAAUCUUCGGCAAUGGACGAAAGUCUGACCGAGUAACGCCGCGUGAGUGAAGAAGGUUGUCGGAUCGUAAAACUCUGUUGGUAGAGAAGAACGUUGGUGAGAGUGGAAAGCUCAUCAAGUGACGGUAACUACCCAGAAAGGGACGGCUAACUACGUG